GAUGAAGAACGUAGCGAAUUGCGAUAAGUAAUGUGAAUUGCAGAAUUACGUGAAUAUCGAAUCUUUGAACGCAUAUUGCACUCUCUGGUAUUCCGGGGAGUAUGCCUGUUUGAGGGUCAGUAAAAAUAAAAAAUAUAUCAUGAAUCCUUUUUUUAAUUUAUUUUAUUAAAUCGGAACAUGGAAUUGGAUCUUUCAAAGAUUUUUCAUUAUUUUUGAUGAUCUUAAAUUUAUGUUAUAUGGCUAUAUAUAAACUGAACCAAAAAGAGCAAUUAUUUAUAAUUAAUCUCAUUUAGUGAUGUUUUAUUAAGCCAAAUAUGAUUUUAUUUUGAUAUUUAAUAUCAAAAUAAUCAUAAAUAUAUUUUAAAAAUGACCUCAAAUCAGGUAAGAGUACCCGCUGAACUUAAGCAUAUCAAUAAGCGGAGGA
rnacentral:misc_RNA from 1 species